rnacentral:rRNA from 1 species
CAGCACCUCAAGUGGUCAGGAUGAUUAUUGGGCCUAAAGCAUCCGUAGCCGGCUCUGUAAGUUUUCGGUUAAAUCUGUACGCUCAACGUACAGGCUGCCGGGAAUACUGCAGCGCUAGGGAGUGGGAGAGGUAGACGGUACUCGGUAGGAAGGGGUAAAAUCCUUUGAUCUAUUGAUGACCACCUGCGGCGAAGGCGGUCUACCAGAACACGUCCGACGGUGAGGGAUGAAAGCUGGGGGAGCAAACCGGAUUAGAUACCCGCGUAGUCC